CCUCUGUAUUUUCCACUCCUGUGAGUCUAGCUUCUUUUACUAAACUAGGAAGAGAAUGUAGUAGUUUCAAAGAUUACAAAUCAGACAGUUUGAUUGUUUUCGACAAUUCAACUGGUCUGAUGGCCCUAUGUGUACAAACUAUUCCUCUUGUCUAUUUUCAUUCCUUUCACACAUAUGAUCAUCUUCAUCUCAUAAAUUCAAUGACCUGUGGUUUUUCCAGGGAAUACCAGCAGCAAGUAAAUCAUUGGAUAGUUCUGAUGCAUGUGUGACUCUUCUUUGUAUUAAACUUGCUACGUGGUGGCCAUGGGAUGAACUCUCAUCAAGCAAAGUUGUUGGAGAACGUGAUGCAGCUAAGACUGUUGAAACUGAUGCUAUUCCUGCUCUUCAGAAACUGCAGAAGAAGAAAGGAAGAGAACUACAAAAGAAAUAAAGGCAAGAAAGGCUGCAGAAUCUUUUAACAAAUUUUUAGGCUGCAGAAUCUAUUUCUCAGUUUUCUUCAUUAAUGAACUACACUUUCUUGAUUGCUUGAAAGGAAGCACAUUUUGUGUGUUUGAAGCCAAGUCAUCAGAAAAUGAAAUUUGAAGAAUACAACUUGAUUGAUGUGAGAUUAUCAAGUCGCCCUAAUCAAUCAAGUUUGCAGAGUCGCAGAAAAAGAGCUGUAUCAAAGCCAUAUGAAGUAGCACACUUGUUGCUGGUACAUUUCGAUAAGGAAAGCAUCUUUUUUGUGCUUCUCUACUGGUAGAUUGUCAUGCACCAUAUGCGGCAUCUUUUGGAACAAUAUAUGUGUGUCAGCUUUUUGAUGUCCCAAGUAGAUGGGCAUGCACUAGAAUGCUUUUCUUAUGUAAAAUGUUGGUUUCAAUGAUUGGGAAAUGCACCCUUUUUUCUUUUGAAGUUUA